AGCAGCCGCGGUAAUUCAUAGCGUAUAUUAAAGUUGUUGCAGUUAAAAAGCUCGUAGUUGAAUUUCGAGACCGGUUUAUUGGUCGUGCUUUUGUACGUACUGGUAUAAUCGGUUUCUCUCUUCUGACGAACUAUAAUGCCAUUAAUUUGGUGUUCUGGGAAAUCAGGACUGUUACUUUGAAAAAUUAGAGUGUUUAAAGCAGGCUCACGCUUGAAUACAUUAGCAUGGAAUAACGGAAUAGGACGUUUGAUUCUAUUUUGUUGGUUUCUAGGAUCGACGUAAUGAUUAAUAGGGAUAGUUGGGGGCAUUAGUAUUCAAUUGUCAGAGGUGAAAUUCUUGGAUUUAUUGAAGACUAACUACUGCGAAAGCAUUUGCCAAGGAUGUUUUCAUUAAUCAAGAACGAAAGUUAGGGGAUCGAAGACGAAUCAGAUACCGUCGUAGUCUUAACCAUAAACUAUGCCGACUAGGGAUCGGAUGAUGUUAAUUUUUAAUGACUCAUUCGGCGCCUUACGGGAAACCA
rnacentral:rRNA from 1 species